UUUCCGUAGGUGAACCUGCGGAAGGAUCAUUACUGAGUCUGGGAUACCCUUCACCGGGACCCGACCUCCAACCCUUUUGUGAACCACCUCGUUGCUUCGGGGGCGACCCUGCCGUUCGCGGCGUGGGGCCCCCGGAGCCCAUCAAACCCUGCGUAACUAAGUCGUCGGAGUUUAAACAAAUUAAACAAAACUUUCAACAACGGAUCUCUUGGUUCGGGCAUCGAUGAAGAACGCAGC
rnacentral:misc_RNA from 1 species